ensembl:lncRNA
GCUAGACAAUAAUGUUUGAUAGGCUAGACAAUAAUGUUUGAUAGGCUAGACAAUAAUGUUUGAUAGGCUAGACAAUAAUGUUUGAUAGGCUAGACAAUAAUGUUUGAUAGGCUAGACAAAAAUGUUUGAUAGGCUAGACAAUAAUGUUUGAUAGGCUUGACAAUAAUGUACAGCCUGAGUGUUUAUAAUGUAAAAGCUCAAUGAACUAAUGAGUGUUGAUCUGCUUUUGCAUAGCAUACGUCAGGUGAUGGGGCUGUAUUUGUUUACAGAAGUAUGUACGGACCUACACAGUCCAUGGCAGGGGUAGGUAACCCUGGUCUUGGAGUACCGCGGGCACUUCAUGUUUUUGCUGCCCAUGUCCCUUAAUGUUGAUAAUGUGGUUGUUACUGACAAGAAGCACAUGGCUGAGCUCUUUAAUCACCACUUCAUUAAGUUAUGAUUCCUAUUUGACUCAGCCAUGCAUCCUUGUCCAUCCAACAUUUCCUAAUCUCCCACCCCUUCUAAUGCGACUAGCCCCGACACUCCUCCCUCUUCUUCCCCUGCCCCGCUACAAAGUUUCUCCCUGCAGACAGUCACUGAGUCAGAGGUGCUAAAGGAGCUCCUUAAACUUGACCCCCCAAAAAUAUCUGGGUCAGAUGGUUUAGACCCUUCUUUAAGGUUGUUACCCCUAUCAUCGCCAAGCCUAUCUCUGACCUUUUAACCUGUCUCUCCUCUCUGGGGAGGUUCCCAUUGCUUGGAAGGCAGCCACGGUUCAUCCUUUAUUUAAAGGGGAAGAUCAAGCUGAUCCUAACUGUUAUAGGCCUAUUUCUCUUUUGCACUGUCUAUCAAAAGUGUUGGAAAAACUUGUCAGUAAUCAACUGACUGGCUUUCUUGAUGUCUGGCUUUCUCUCUGGUAUGCAAUCUGGUUUACACUCAGGUUAUGGAUGUGUCACUGCAACCUUAAAAGGUCCUCAAUGAUGUCACCAUUGCCCUUGAUUCUAAGCAAUGUUGUGCUGCUAUUUUUAUUGACUUGCCCAAAGCUUUUGAUACGGUAGACCAUUCCAUUCGUGGGCCGGCUAUUGGAGUAUUGGUGUCUCGGAGAUCUUUGGCCUGGUUUGCUAACUACCUCGCUCAAGAGUUUUAUUUAUUUUUAUUUUACCUUUAUUUAACUAGGCAAGUCAGUUAAUACGGAUAGACGUUCCUUUCGACAACAUCCGGUGAAAUUGCAGAGCACGAAAUUCAAAUUAAAUUAUUAAAAAGAUUUAACAUUCAUAAAAUUACAAGUGCAAUACACCAAAUUAAAGCUUAACUUCUUGUUAAUCCAGCCACCGUGUCAGAUUUCAAAAAGGCUUUAUGGCGAAAGCAAACCAUGCGAUUAUCUGAGGACAGCACCCCACCAUACAAACACAUGAAAAUCAUAUUUCAACCAAGCAGGUGCGACACGAAAGUCAGAAAUAACUAUAUAAUUCAUGCCUUACCUUUGAAGAUCUUCUUCUGUUGGCACUCCAAUAUGUCCCAGAAACAUCACAAAUUAUCCUUUUGUUCGAUAAACUACUUUUUUAUAUCCCCAAAAUGUCAAUUUAUUUGGCGCGUUUGAUUCAGAAAAACACCGGUUCCAACUCGCCCAACAUGACUACAAAUGAUCUAAUAAGUUACCUGUAAACUUGGUCCAAACAUUUCAAACAACUUUCCUAAUCCAUCCUUAGGUAUCCUAAAACGUAAAUAAUCGAUCAAAUUUAAGACGGAAUAUACUGUGUUCAAUAGCGGAUAAAAUCAACAUGGAGCUCGUGACCUGGAGCGCGCACCAAACAAAAGAGUACACUUGGCUUGACACUCAUUCUGAACAGCUGUACUUCUUCAUUUCUCAAAGGAUAAACAUCAACCAAUUUCUAAAGACUGUUGACAUCUAGUGGAAGCCAUAGGAACUGCAACCAGGUGCCUCAUAAAUCUAGAUUCCCAUAGAAAUCCAAUAGAAAACACAGUCAUCUCAAAUUUUUCCUGGAUGGUUUGCCCUAGGGGUUUAGCCUGCCAAAUAUGUUCUGUUAUACUCACAGACAUCAUUUGAACAGUUUUAGAAACGUUAGAGUGUUUCUAUCCAAAUCUACCAAUUAUAUGCAUAUCCUAGCUUCUGGGCCGGAGAAGCAGGCAGUUUACUUUGGGCACGCUUUUCAUCCGGAUGUGAAAAUACUGCCCCCUAUCCCAAAGAGGUUUUAAGAGCAAAUUCUUAUUAAAAUGACAGCCUAGGAACAGUGGGUUAACUGCCUUGUUAAGGGGCAGAAUGACAGAUUUUGACCUUUGACCUUGCAACCUUUCGGUUACUAGUCCAACGCUCUAACCACUAGGCUAACUGCCGCCCCAGAGUGCAGUGUAUAAAGUUAAAACAUCUGCUGUCUCAGCCACUGCCUGUCACCAAGGGAGUACCCCAAGCCUCGAUCCUAGGCCCCACGCUCUUCUCAAUUUACUUCAACAACAUAGCUCAGGCAGUAGGAAGCUCUCUCAUCCAUUUAUUUGCAGAUAAUACAGUCUUAUACUCAGCUGGCCCCUCCACGGAUUUUGUGUUAAACGCACUACAACAAAGCUUUCCUAGCAUCCAACAAGCUUUCUCUGCCCUUAACCUUGUUCUGAACAACUCCAAAACAAAGGUCAUGUGGUUUGUAAGAAGAAUGCCCCUCUCCCCACAGGUGUGAUUACUACUUCUGUGGGUUUAGAGCUUGAGGUAGUCACCUCAUACAAGUACUUAGGAGCAUGGCUAGAUGGUACACUGUCCUUCUCUCAGCACAUAUCAAAGCUGCAGGCUAAAGUUAAAUCUAGACUUGGUUUCCUCUAUCGUAAUCGCUCCUCUUUCACCCCAGCUGCCAAACUAACCCUGAUUCAGAUGACCAUCCUACCCAUGCUAGACUACGGAGACAUUCUUUUUAGAUUGGCAGGUUAGGGUGCUCUCGAGCGGCUAGAUGUUCUUUAACGUUCGGCCAUCAGAUUUGCCACCAAUGCUCCUUAUAGGACACAUCACUCAUAUCACAUCACAGCACUCUAUACUCCUAUAUAAACUGAUCAUCUAUGUAUACCCGUCACACCCCCUGAUUGAUGCUUAUUUAUAAAACCCUCUUAGGCCUCACUCCCCCUAUCUGAGAUAUCUAUUGCAGCCCUAAUCCUCCACAUACAACACCCGUUCUGCCAGUCACAUUCUGUUAAAGGUCCCCAAAGCACACACAUCCCUGGGUCGCGAGCUGCAAGAAACACUCAAACUGAACAGUUUUAUCUGUGUCUUCAUUGAAAGACUCAAUCAUGGACACUCUUACUGAAAGUUGUGACUGCUUUGCGUGAUGUAUUGUUGUCUCUACCUUCUUGUCAAUGUGCUGUUGUCUGUGCCCAAUAAUGUUUGUACCAUGUUUUGUGCUGCUACCAUGUUGUGUUGCUACCAUGCUGUUGUCAUGUUUUGUUGCUACCAAUCAAUCAAAUGUAUUUAUAAAGCCCUUUUUUACAUCAGCCGAUGUCACAAAGUGCUUAUGCAGAAACCCAGCCUAAAACCCCAAACAGCAAGCAAUGCAGAUGUAGAAGCACGAUGGCUAGGAAAAACUCGCUAGAAAGGCAGGAACCUAGGAAGAAACCUAGAGAGGAACCAGGCUCUGAGGGGUGGCCAGUCCUCUUCUGGCUGUGCCGGGUGAAGAUUACAACAGUACAUGGACAAGAUGUUCAAACGUUCAUAGAUUACCAGCAGGGUCAAAUAAUAAUAAAUCACAGUGGUUGUAGAGAGUGCAACUAGUCAGCACUUCAGGAGUAAAUGUCAGUUGGCUUUUCAUAUCCAAUCAUUCAGAGUUAGAGAUAGCAGGUGCGGUAGAGAGAGAGUCGAAAACAGCAGGUCCGGGACAAGGUAGCACAUCCGGUGAACAGAUCAGGGUUCCAUAGCCGCAGGCAGAACAGUUGAAACUGGAGCAGCAGCACAACCAGGUGGACUGGGGACAGCAAGGAGUCAUCAGGCCAGGUAGUCCUGAGGCAUGGUCCUAGAACUCAGGUCCUCCGAGAGAAAAGAGAGAACGAGAGAGAGAGCGGGCUGUGUUAUGUGUUGGUACCUUGCUAUGUUGUUGUCUUAGGUCUCUCUUUAUGUAGUGUUGUGUUGUCUCUCUUGCCGUGAUGUGUGUUUUGUCCUAUAUUUUUAUUUAAAAAUAUAAAAAUGGCUUUGUAUAAAUUGGGCAAUAAUAUUGUUAGAGACUUUCGUAAAUGUAGUAAAGGGUUCUUUUAGACUGAAUUCUUAAGUUAACAUAGCAUUUUUAAUUUGACAAAUUUCACAUUUUGAGAUUUCAAAUAUUGUACUCUGUAUUUUUCAUUAAUUAAAAGCAUGUACUUUUUUAUGCUUGAUUUUGGUUGAGCAUUGGUUUUAUUAAGGGUUGAUGUAAAUUACAUCCUGAUACAGUCAGUUUGGUAGAACAGGCACCUAAACUGUUCUUAUAAAUUGGGUGGUUCGAGCCCUGAAUGCUGAUUGGCUGAAAGCUGUGGUAUGUCAGACCAUAUACCACAGGUAUGACAAAACAUUUGUUUUUAGUGCUCUAAUUACGUUGAUAACCAGUUUAUAAUGGCAAUAAGGCACCUCAGGGUUUUGUGGUCUGCGUUGCUUCUUGACUAAGAACAGCCUUUAGCCGUGGUAUAUUGGCCCUAUACCACACCACCUCAUGUCUUAUUGCUUAAUUCUACAAUGGAAAAAUAUAUAUCUUUAUGCAGUGUCCACUAUAACCAUCACGACGCAAUAUCAAUAAAAUAAUACUUUGACAGCAAAUAAUUUCACAACUACUGCCACUGUCCUUUUGAAGGCUGCUGUUGCAGGAUCCAAUUUCAUCCUUUAGUAACCAACACCAUUCUAAGUCUCCCAACUAAUGUCUAUGUCUUCUGGCUGAUACGGACCGGAGGGGAAGGCUUGGUGGCCUCAGACUUCUUUACUCUCAACCAGUCUACGUCUGAAAUACUGUAUUCUACCAGUUUGUCAGCCAAUGGAAAACCUGCGCAACAGUGAAUGGAGCAGAUUUUACUUGAACAAAAUGUUUCCUGUUUUUCCCUUAUGAAAGAGGAACUGCUGCAUAGAUGUAGCAACAUAGAUUACCUCGUUGCUCUUUAACUGAAGGAAAUGUGCUUAAACCAUAGGGCGGAAUUUGCAAGGAAAUUGAUAAGGCGCCUGUAGCUGUUAUCAACAUGUACUCUGGCCUCGAAUGGCUUCCUGCAGUUUAGACUGACUAAUUUAUUGAUGGUUGUUGUAGGCUACUUAAGCUAGCAAUACGAGACUGAAAUGUUACCAUUGGGGAAGAGAUUGGAUUCUGGUAAAGCUGGUGUUGCCUACUCCUGUUGUCUCCUUCAACACAGCAUUCAAACUGUGUCAAACCAUAUUUCAAAUCACUUCUGUAAUUUAUAAUGUCAUUACCACGUCACAACAAAAAAACUGAUGAACAGAAUGUUUUCCACCAUUACCUUGGAACAGCUGUCACAAGGGGAUUUCUACUGAGGAAGACAACCCAGUCGCCUUCCUGGAAAGCAAGUGCAAAACUGGCCCAGUAUCUGUGCAAAAUUGUGCUUUCAAGACAACUGGGAAUUCAGAAAAAAAAUGCCUACCUCUACUGUAUGUACCCUGCUUAGCUUUGGAAAAACUGUGUUUACUUGAUAGCUCAGCUGAAACAAACACAUUUAGACACUGAUCAGCUUCCACACUAAUUUGCGUAGACUACUUAAAUAUCAUUGAAUAGUUGAAAGUAAUUAACUUUUCUUACACAAGCUGUAUGUUAAAGUAAAUUCUCAGUGAGGUUGGGUUUAUUAUGUAGGCUAGCUACAUUGACAUCUGACCCUGCUGGUCAUCUAUAAACAUUUGAACAUCUUGUCUAUGUACUGUUACCUCCACCCGGCACAGCCAGAAGAAGA